rnacentral:lncRNA from 1 species
GAUGUGUGUGUCUGGACCUCUGAGAGAAAAAGAGUUUCUGCUUGCUGGACCUGCUGAAAGGAGGAUUCUGGGGGAUUUGUGCCUGAGGAGGGUGGGGAUAAAAACUGCCUCGAUGAAAUUGGGCAGAGUAACACAGAAACAAGUCCCUGAGCAAAAUAUUACUUAAAAGCAUGCAAACAAAAACUGCAGAGGGGUGAUGCUGGUAGUUGGCUGGAAUGGAGCUCUGGGUUCUAAAGCUUCCUGAGCACUCCCCGCUGGAGCUGCCUGCCUGGAAACACCCCUAUCUUCUUACUGCUCUAAGUGAAGGGAUAAUUCAUCUUUGUGUUUUUUCUUCGUUUUUUUUCCCCUUAAACAUUGCCAACCCUGCAAAUUAAAAAUGGACCCAUGAGUAAUUAGGCUUUUCUUUUUCCUUUGUUAAAUGAGUAAGUGAUGGUGACAGCUGAAAAAUGUGUGUGGUCUUUCUAUCUGAGUCUACAGACCUUGAAGGUCCCCAAGUACAGGAGAAAAUGUUCUGAGAUGCAGAUUUUCUUGGAUUCCCCAUAGAAUAUUUUUCUUUGGAUUUUCAAUUGUCUCUGUCUACACAGGUUAUAAAUCUAGUUCAGUAGAAGCAAGAAAAAUUUUAAUGGAAUUUUUUGUUAAAACUAAUUAAACAUCUGGCUCCCUCAUCACCACAAACAGACAGAAGAGAUUUACUAUAAAAUAAUAGCCAACUUCAAAUUUGAACAAGUGUUUUAGAAACUUGCCUUCACCUUUUUGCUUUAUCAGUUACUGUGUUUUCUGGUUGCUACAGGAAGCUACUGGUAAGACAGGUGUCCUUGCAAAUGGCCUGCAGAACAGACUUUACACCGUUAAGCAUUCAAGGAAUGGAAACUAAUUGAUUAAGACCACUGUCUCCAAGAGUGAUUCUUAUUUCCUUAAUCACGUCUUCAUCAUCCGCAGUUUGCAGAUCGAUCUUGACUUAACACAUCAUAGUUCUGUCAAGAACCACACCAUCUGUUGCGGAAAUGCUGGGAGGCACUUGACAAAUUUGGACCAGACACCUUUAUUUCCCUUUGACAUUUUGAUGUAGGCAAGGCCUAAUUGGAUUUUGCGAGCGAUCGCUGUUCCUGUGG